CCUACGGGUGGCAGCAGUGGGGAAUAUUGCACAAUGGCGGAAACGCUGAUGCAGCAACGCCGCGUGAGUGAGGAAGUAUUUCGGUAUGUAAAGCUCUAUCAGCAGGGAAUAGAAAAGAAGGUACCUGAAAAAGAAGCCCCGGCUAACUACGUGCCAGCAGCCGCGGUAAUACGUAGGUGGCAAGCGUUAUCCGGAAUGAUUGGGCGUAAAGGGUGCGUAGGCGGAAAAAUAAGUCUGAAGUAAAAGGCGUUGCCUCAACCAACGUAAGCUUUGGAAACUGUUAAGCUAGCGUGCAGGAGAGGUAAGUGGAAUUCGAGGUGUAGCGGUAAAAUGCGUAGAUAUAUGGAGGAACACCAGUGGCGAAGGCGGCUAACUGGCCUGUAACGGACGCUGAGGCACGAAAGCGUGGGGAGCAAAUAGGAUUAGAUACCCUAGUAGUC
rnacentral:rRNA from 1 species